GCCUCCGUAGCUCAGGGGACAGGGCACCGCUCUCCUAAAGCGGGUGCCGGCGGUUCGAAUCCGCCCGGGGGCACCA
rnacentral:tRNA from 1 species